GGCCGGCGGGUAACGGGCUCCGGGCUCCGGAGGGGACGGGCGGCGGAGGCCCGGCGGAGAUCGCCGCGAUCCCAGAGCUCCCUCGCGGGGACCGGGCCGCGGGCAAGGCGCGUGGGUCCCGCCUCUCGCGGGUGGGGCUGGGGUGGCGGCUCCUUGUCCAGCCCGCGGUUCUGCGUUGGGGUGAAGGGGUGGCGGGCGUGGCACCUGCGAGCGCGCGUGGGACGGGAACUGUGGGCUCAGAGGGAUAAUCCUGAGGUUUUGGAGACGCCUUGCAACUCUGCCUUCUACCAACACUUUUGUGACUUCUGAUUUUCCUUGUCCUGUGACCUCAGAAUCCAGCCGGGGUGACACCCUCCUUCCCACAGAUGCCCCAGGUCUGCGGACUCCGCCACGGAUCACCAACCAUAUGCAGCGUGCAUUUGUGCCCACGCACACCUUUGUGUGGGGGAGAGGUGGGUCCGGCUGCAGCAGGGGCAGCGGGAAGAAAAGGAAGGAGGUGCCCUCCACCCCCAAUUGGGAGACCCACAGACUCAGGAGGAGACACUCAACUCUUAGGAGGGACAUCAAUCAUCUCAGAGGCUAAAUAACAAGUGUUUCCUCACCAGCAGAAAAAAAAUCCUCUCCUGUUUUAACCACAUCCAGCCUCUUUAUUCGAGCGAGGCUUCCUGCUUCCUGCAACUGUGACACGCCCUUCUCCUUAGAGGAUUCUUAGUCUCAGAGGUCCCUGCCUUGCGCCUCAUUCCCUCAGGGCUCUACUCUGUGACUUUUAAGGUGACAAUCAGUUAAUCCAAUAACAGAAUCCUGUUAAUGUGCUAACAGGAAAGGGUGGAAAACAAAGCUCCCAGUCCCUCCCUUCUGACUCAGGUAACAUCUGUGCAUUUAACAGGGCCCUUCUGGAGACAAUUAAAUAAAUGCUUUAUUGAAACAAUAA